UGGACCCAGCUCGUAUGGAGUGAGGUGCAGUGUGACUAUGAACACUCAAGAUUUGGCUACACAAAGAGAAAUAAUAAGUGCUAUCCAAGGCAGCGAUACAAGUGGCUUGAAGGAUCUGUGGAUGGUUGCUUUUCCUCACAAUGUAAAAAUUGAGCUAACUUAUGAUGUGGAAAGUUUUCAAGAUAAGAUGACAAUACACUGUUUUUGUAUAAAGGCUGAAUAUAUGUAAUACUAUGUUCUUGAGAAUACUUCAUGCAUGUCUGUCCUCAAUCAGCAGAGGCAUGCUUUAAAGAAUUGGCCCAUGACCAUGGAAAGAAGACUGCUGGGAUGGCACUAGUUGGAAUCACUCCAGAGCACUAUCAGUCUACAGAACAGUGCUCUUAACAGUGACUGAGGCAGUGAACAGAACUGAAAUAUUAUGUGUAUGUUUUUUCCUACAGUGAGCUUUCUUCUUAUGUUUAAAUCUCAUCCAUGCAUCAUGCAUUGUGAGGGAAUUUGUUGCUGUAGACCUGAUUGCAAUGUUACAGUAGUGCAACUCAACUGACUUCUGCCUUGCAGCUACCACACAGUGCCAGCUGAAACACACUGAAACAGUUUCUCCAAAUUGAAACAAACAACAGCUCUGGUGU